rnacentral:rRNA from 1 species
GAUGAACGCUGGCGGCGUGCUUAACACAUGCAAGUCGAACGGACUUUUAAUGAAGCCUAGCGAUUUAAAAGUUAGUGGCGGACGGGUGAGUAACGCGUGGGUAACCUGCCUUAUACAGGGGGAUAACACUUAGAAAUAGGUGCUAAUACCGCAUAAGCGCACAGUAUCGCAUGAUACAGUGUGAAAAACUCCGGUGGUAUAAGAUGGACCCGCGUCUGAUUAGCUAGUUGGUGGGGUAAUGGCUCACCAAGGCGACGAUACGUAGGGGGACUGAGAGGUUAACCCCCCACAUUGGUACUGAGACACGGACCAAACUCCUACGGGAGGCAGCAGUGAGGAAUAUUGGUCAAUGGACGCAAGUCUGAACCAGCCAUGCCGCGUGCAGGAAGACGGCUCUAUGAGUUGUAAAACUGCUUUUUGUAUGAGGGGUAAAAAUUAGGUACGUGUACCUAACUGAAAGUAUCAUACGAAUAAGGAUCGGCUAACUCCGUGCCAGCAGCCGCGGU